GGUAGAGCCUGGUGGACUCCGAUGGUUGAGACCAGGUCUGAGGAAGUAUUCCUGUGAACUCACAAUCAAUGCAAACACAGUAAACAGAUGGAUCAAACUGUCUGACAACAACAGGAAGGCGAUACGUGUGGAGGAGGAUCAGUCACAUCCUUAUCAUCUAGAGAGGUUUGACUACUGGUGGCAGCUGCUUUUUGUAAUAAAUUCAUCAAUGAACUUUGUACAAAGUGAUUCAAAGUGAUUGAACAGAUUCCUCAUUUCCAUUGUAAACUUCUUCCACUUCCAGUCCUUUAAAGAUGGAAGCUCUGAUCAUUAAAUGGUGGAAAUGCCGUUGACU